GUUGGUACCGAUGGCAGCGAGGGUACACCCGUUCCCAUUCCGAACACGGCAGUUAAGCUCGCUCACGCCGACAAUACUUGGCUGGCGACGGCCCGGGAAGAUAGGUAGGCGCCAACA
rnacentral:rRNA from 1 species